AAUAAAGUAAGCUAAGUGUAAGCUGUUGGGUUCAUACCCCAAAAAUGAAUAUUUAAAUUCUUUUAUUAU
rnacentral:tRNA from 1 species